rnacentral:rRNA from 1 species
UACGGAGGGUGCAAGCGUUAUCCGGAUUUACUGGGUUUAAAGGGUGCGUAGGCGGCUUUGUAAGUCAGUGGUGAAAUAUGGCAGCUCAACUGUCAGGGUGCCAUUGAUACUGCAGAGCUUGAGUACAGAUGAGGUAGGCGGAAUUGACGGUGUAGCGGUGAAAUGCUUAGAUAUCGUCAAGAACACCGAUAGCGAAGGCAGCUUACUGGGCUGUAACUGACGCUGAGGCACGAAAGUGUGGGGAUCAAACAGG